GCAUGUAGGUAAUGUCAGAGGUUCGAUUCUGGCUCAGAUUGAACUGGCGGAUACACAUGCAAGUCAGACGGCAGCACGGACUUCGGUCUGGUGGCGAGUGAGCAGGUGAGUAAUGUAUCGGAACCGUGCACAAGUAGCGGGGGAUAACUACGCGAAAGCGUAGCUAAUACCGCAUGCGCCCUUCGGGGAAAGCGGGGACCUUCGGGCCUCGCACUAUUAAGAGCGGCCGAUAUCGGAUUAGCUAGUUGGUGGGGUAACGGCUCACCAGAGCGUGAUCGUAGCUGGUUUGUGAGAGGACGACCAGCCACACUGGGACUGAGACACGGCCCAGACUCCUACGGGAGGCAGCAGUGGGAAAUUUGGACAAUGGGGGAAACCUGAUCCAGCCAUCCCGCGUGUGCGAUGACCUUCGGGUUGUAAUAGCUUACUUUGGCAGGAAAAGAAACGGCACAGGAUAAUACCCCAUGCAACUGACGUACCUGCAGAAUAAACACCGGCUAACUACGUGCCAGCAGCCGCGGUAAUACGUAGGGUGCAAGCGUUAAUCGGAAUUACUGGGCGUAAAGCGUGCGCAGGCGGUUCGGAAAGAAAGAUGUGAAAUCCCAAGAGCUUAACUGGAACUGCAUUUUUAACUACCGAGCUAGAGAGUGUCAGGGGUGGAAUUCCGCGUGUAGCAGUGAAAUGCGUAGAUAUGCGGAGGAACACCGAUGGCGAAGGCAGCCUCAUAAGGAUAACGCGGCCGCUCAUGCACGAAAGCGUGGGAGCAAACAGAGUUAGAUGCACCUGGUAGUCCACGCCCUAAACGGUAUCAACUAUGCUGUUGGGGCCUUCCGGGCCUUGGUAGCGCAGCUAACGUGGUUGAAGCCGCCUCAGAGUACGGUCGCAAGAUUAAACUCAAAGGAAUUGACGGGGACCCGCACAAGCGGUGGAUGAUGUGGAUUAAUUCGAUGCAACGCGAAAAGCCUUACCUACCCUUGACAUGUAUCUGGAAUCCCGAAGAGAUUUAAGAGUGCUCGCAAGGGGCCGGAACACAGGUGCUGCACGGCUGUCGUCGCUCGUGUCAUGAGAUGUUGGGUUAAGUCCCGCAACGAGCGCAAAAGCCUUGCUCAAAAUACAGAUUGCUACGAAGGGCACUCUAGCGGAACUGCCGGUGAUAAACCGGAGGAAGGUGGAUGACGUCAAGUCCUCAUAGCCCUUAUGGGUAGGGCUUCACACGUCUUCGUGGUCCGGACAGGGUCGCCAGCCGCGAGGGGCCAAUCCCGAUCGUAGUCCGGAUCGCAGUCUGCAACUCAGGCCGUGAAGUCGGAAUCGCUAUUAAUCGCGGAUCAACAUGUCGCGGUGGGCCGUUCCGGGUCUUUUACCGCUUAAAUACACCGCGAGUGGGUUUACCAGAAGUAGUUAGCCUAACCGUAAGGAGGGCGAUUACCACGGUAGGAUUCCAUGACUGGGGUGAAGUCGUAACAAGGUAGCG
rnacentral:rRNA from 1 species